GGUCCUAAAGGAACAAUCUUAUAAAAUACAUUUGUCCUGGAUAUUUGAACUGAAUAUAACAACUUCAAUAGAGUGUUUGUAUGAUUCAUUGUUCCUGCUGUAGCAAAGAGGUACCAGUCAGCAAAUUCUAAUGAGAAUUCUAAUGCUAAAAAACCCAAAACCAACUUUGAAGAGUACAGAGGAAACAAAGAACACCUCAGAAAGUGUUUGAAAGGAGACACUGCUCCCAGUUAAAUGGUGUGAAGACCCACAAAUGACUAACAGAGGCAAGCACUCCAGAUAUUCCUGGAUACAUUGGCAAGGUUCAUUGAUCAGCAGCUCACCCGGCAAAUUCCAAUCUUCCAUCAACAGCCCCAUCAGUAAUUGCAGGAAUGCAUGGGGCCUUUAUAUUUCUGAAGAAAGAAUGUCCAGAGUAUUCUGCAUGAAGUAAAGAUAAAGCUCUCAGCUGAAAAAAACGUGUUACAGCUUUCUGUCAUGUUCAAUUCACCAGUGACAGCCAGUCAAUUCAGGAUAAAAAAGCCUACCCAAGAUCAGAAAGAAGUCCUGUCCAGUUAACCAGGUA
rnacentral:lncRNA from 1 species